rnacentral:misc_RNA from 1 species
AAGAAUGCGAUAUGCAAUGUGAAUUGCAGAACCACGAAUCAUCGGAUCUUUGAACGCAACUGGCGCUGAUUUAUCAGCAUACUUGUUUCAGUGUGCUCAAACAACUAAACCAUCUAAAUGUGAGAGAAGUUCUCUCAUGAAGUAAAUGCUCCCUGCAGCAGUCACAUUCAUAUGUGAGCUGUGCGGAAACUAAAAGCCUUAUUCGCACCUGAAAUCAAGUAAGAUGACCCGCUGGACUUAA